rnacentral:piRNA from 1 species
AAGAAACUUUGUAACGGAACCUUUUUGUC